UUAGGAUUAUAGUUCAGCUAUAAUAUAGAGUUUAUUGGAGAAAUUAUAGAGUACUUUCUAUUUUUUUAGAGUUUUACUAUGUGUCUAUUCAAAUAUAUUAGUUAUUGGUUCUUUAUUUAAAUAUAGGAAAAAUUUUGUAAUUUCAUAUUUGUUAGAAAGACCUAGAUUACUAUAGAUGUCCUUAUUCGGAGUCCUUGUUGGUUGAUGAUUACUUCUUGGGAUUAUCAUGUUUGUAAUUUUGUUGGAAAGUUUUGAUUGAUACUAAUUCUAGCAAAUUAUACUUUGAGUUGUGUGACGGAAUUCAAUCCUAGGUGUGACACUUGUGAACUUUGGAUGAUGCCGAAGGAAGUUUAGAUGUGAAGCUUAAACUAUUCUAUUGUUCGAUUUGCCUAAUUCAAUCUUGCAAACAACCCUGAAAACCCUAACUCUUGUACUAAUUUCACUUCCCAAACCUAUACACUUCAAAACCUUAUAUAUUACUAUUCACAGUCCAUGAAUAUUCUCUUCCUGUUUAAUUUCUCUUUUCAGUUCCAUCCUUUCACAAACCCUUAAUUCUUCACCUAAAUUCCCAAUCUUUUUAGCCUUUACAAAGCCUCCAAUUUCAACAUUAAUUCUUCGACCUGUAGGAUGUCCUACAUCAGUUUGGUAUCAAAGCUUCAAGAUCCUUGAAGUUUAUGCUUUGUCUUUACAACCAUGGUGAUG
rnacentral:misc_RNA from 1 species